AUGUACGCGGAAACGGAGCCCGGGGCCGCCGCGGAGCGCACGGCGUUCCGGCGGGCCGAGAAGCAGUACAAGCUCUACAAGCCGCCCAGUCGCAAGGGCAGGUCGAAAUCCAGGGGCAAGCAAGCCGGUGGUGGUGGAUUUGGCGGCGGCGGCGGCGGCGGGGACCUGUCCGCGGUGGUCGACUUCCACGCGCUGCUUGCUGCCGGAAAAGGCGAGCUGCCCGCCGGGAUCCGGAGGUGCGACCGCGCCGGCUUCCACCUGCCCGUGUUCUGCUUCCUCGACCGGCCGGGAUUCUAUUUCAUCCCUGGUGCUCUAUCUACCGAGGAACAGUGCUAUUGGAUCAGGGAAAGCUUGAAAACAUUCCCACAGCCUCCUAAUAGAACCAACUUGACUGCUACAUACGGUCCAAUUUCUGACUUGCUCAUUGCUGCUAAAAACCAGAAGAUUUUGGUUGAAGUGGAAAGUUCCAGUGGCAAACCAAGAGAUGAGCAGAAUAAUGUUGGGGAAAAUGCACAUCCGGGUAAAUUCAAAUUUGUGGAUGACUCAGAGAUCCAAAAGGAGGAAAGACCUAAGUCGACCAUGGCAGCUGCUCUUGUGCGCAAGCUCCGGUGGAGCACCCUUGGCUUGCAAUUUGAUUGGUCAAAACGUAACUAUGAUGUAUCGCUUCCACAUAACAAGAUUCCAGAUGACCUUGCUACUCUAGCAAAAAAGAUGGCCGUUCCAGCAAUGCCUUCUGGAGAAGAAUUCACCGCAGAAGCAGCCAUCGUGAACUAUUAUGGUCCAAGCGACAUGCUUGGUGGCCAUGUUGAUGACAUGGAAGCAGAUUGGACAAAACCUAUUGUGAGCAUAAGUUUGGGUUGCAAGUGUAUUUUUCUGCUUGGAGGGAAGACAAGGGAUGAAGCUCCAACGCCAAUGUUCCUGCGAAGUGGUGAUAUUGUACUGAUGGCUGGGGAAGCACGAGAGCGCUUCCAUGGUGUCCCACGGAUCUUCACAGAGGGUGACCAGCAAGAUAUCUCUGGGCUGGUAUCAGAACUAUCUGAUGAUGAUGACCGCUUUAUAUUGGACUACAUUCAUAAUUCAAGGAUAAAUAUCAACAUAAGACAAGUAUACUGA
rnacentral:rRNA from 1 species